CUGGCACCACCGGUCCCUUGAUGAGCGCUGGCGGGGCCCAUCGGAGCGUCUCCCACGAUGGCCGGAAGGUGACUCGGGGACAAAGCACCCAGCUCCAACGUGGGACUGAAGACACCGCUAUGCGAGAGCCCGAAUCUUUCAGGCACAGCUGGACCAGGUUGAGGCCUCGGUGACCAAUUUUUUUCUCAAAAUCCCUCUCUGCCAAUUAGGUGAAAAUAGAGGAUUCUGGAGUCAGAAGGAACUUUUCACGGGCAUCCACAGGAGUGCUCUGGUUCAUCUUUCCUGAAUGGAGUGGGUACCACGACCUGCCCUCCUGCCCUCUGGCCUUCCGGUGUUGACCUGGCCACACCAGGUUGGAGUGCAUUUGGAAAUGACACUACGCUGCUUCUUUGGGGACAUGGGUUAGGUCUGGGCCACCCAGGGGGUAAUUCUAGAAGGGGUUCUUGGACACAGUUCUAGAUACAACAGGAGAAAAGUACCCAGUUCCCCCCAACUCUGAGGAUGACAACUCUGGGACGGCUGGGGCAGGGGACUGAGGCCUCUAAGGCUAACACACUUCAUCUCAAACCGCAAACCAGGGUUCUACCUCGCUGGCUUUCCAACUGAAAGAGAACACUGAGCGAUGCUCUGUUUUCUGUGCUCUGUCGCUUCUCAUUUUGAAGAAGUGAUAAUAACAUUUUGCCAGUGACAUCGUUCAAAGAGGAUUGAGCUCCUACUGUGUGUCCCUGAAGGAUUCCCGAAAAGCCUCAGAUCCAAGUCCCGUGCGGUCACACACUGGCGGGGUCUCCCAGGCAGCAUCCUGACGCAUCCUCUAAGCUCAGUUUCCACGUGGAUAACAAACAAUAAGGGGCUGGCUCCUGGAAUUAAGUCUCUCCCAGCCCAAAGAUCUCUGUGUGUGAAGUGCUUUCAGAUUCCCCUCCAAGGAAAAGUUUGUGUAUAAAUUACAAAUGGCUUUGAGAGCCUUGUCAGCCCAGCCUUUCUCAGCUAGCUGCUCUCCCGUUCAGCACAGGCAAGAGAAUCACUUAAAAUGCACUGCGAGCUACAGGUAAUGGGCAGGCAGAAGAGAAGGGGGAGCGGAGGAUGGGCUCUUCAGAGCAAAGCCCCACCGUGCCAUUAGCACUUAGCACAAGACAGAAUGCGGAUUAGCGUGUUUAUUUCAGAAGCCUUUCUGAACGUCCUACCUGGCUAUUGAAAUUCACGAGGCAUUUGUUGUCGCAUUUCCUUUCUUAUUAACAAUGGCACAGAAGCCGGGGUAGCUGACAGUUCUCUCAGUGUCUCAGGGUGUUGGGGGGGGGGGAAGAGGGGCUACUCAACAGCACAGUUUGCGUGUUCUUGACGUGCUCCUUGAAGACUGGUACCACCCCCCCAUUCAGGGCCCCUCCCCAUCACCCCCUCCCCCGGUAUUUUCAACUAGAAACUGUUACACCCAGAACAUAGAACUCCCAGAUUCACACAGGCACACUGUCCGCGUGAAAGGCAUCAUAUCUCAUUUCCUCAUUUCUUCAAAGCUCAUUAGAAACUGUACCUUUUAAGCAUUUACUUGACCAAAACGCUCUCUAAUCAUGCGAGUCAUAAAACCCGUAAGAAGAGGCACAGACCUGGGGUGGAGGGAAGAGUGGGGCGAGAAAGGGAGGAAAUGGGAUGAAUGACGCCGAGUGAGGCUGGCUACGAGGGUGUGACAGAAGCUACCCACCGCAGACAAAGAACACCCAGGGACCGGGAGACAAUGCCGGCUCAGACAGGACGAAGAGCGGCGGCGGGCGGCGGGAGGCAGGGAGUCCGGCGGCCCCGCCCCGCACCCACACCCACUGCUCGCUGGCUGACCCGUCUGCUCCCAGCAGCUGCUCCGCUGUGGAGAGACACAGUCAUUUCCUGGCUAAAAGGAUUUCUACCAUUUUAAUUAGUUUUUUUUUUUUUUAAAUUUAGAGAUAAGAAAUAACACCUCUCCACUGCCACCUUCCCCGGAAAUACAGCUGUGUUUUCAACUAUCAACAGAACAAACUACGAUUUUGGUUUCUGCAAGAGUUUAGAAUUUCUUGUGAAAUCAAAUAAAAUAAGGGAAAAAAAAGAACUUCAACAAAGUAGUUCAAAUCUGAGCUUGUUAGGAAAACACAGGUAGAAAUUUUUUGGAAGGAAGCGUGGUGGGGGUUGGGAAACAGGGGCUGUUCACAACGAGGGUAAAUUAACCUGAUGGGACCUCACCCUUUGUCCUCUUUAGCCUGACAGGACAGUGACAAGGGGUGGAAUUCUUAACAUUUCACCUCUGCACUUGCCACACCCCCGCCCCCCACAAAGAUCUAGCACACACAUUAAUUCACUUGGGAUUCCUAGACAGAAUCCUUCACAGAGAAAAGAAUUGGGGAUUUCACAAGUAAUGUGUGCAAAAUCUUCCUUAACCUAGAAAACAUCAGGGAAAAGAAUCAGCUGGGAACAGAGACCUCUGAAACUGAGACACAGGAAAGGAAAAAAGGCACAGUGAGGCUGCUCGCCAGCCACACCAGGAUGCUGGAGCCGGGGGUGGAGGGGACUGAGACCUUCUUAGAACCACUGUGGACGAACGAAGCCCUGACCUACUAGCACCCCGGGUAAUAGACGGGGACAGGGGGAGGGUCUGCUCUUUUAAAUAACGACGGAUGGGAAAAAAAUAUUUCGAUGCCGUCGCACAACAAAUAGGACUUCUUUUCUAACUGAAAAAAAAAUGCAGAUCUAACUGGGAAAAUUGAUUUCUUCCUGCCCUCUCUUCUCCCAAAAGGAGAUUAGAAAGAAGAAAACAGAAAAACAUGCGUCCUGGAGAUGAAUUUUGGUAAUGAACACCGUAACCACUCAUGGGAGACACACUCCUCUUUCAAAGGUCAUCGACAAAAAAUAUUUCAAUGUGAUCAUGUGAGUGAAACUCUGCAGUGAAAUGCAUUUGAUGUUGAAUUGUUUUUACACGCGGCGAGGGGGAGAUAGUCUUGUCACUCACGGAUGAGAUCUGAUCUCUUUCAAACCAUCUCUCCCAACAAGUGUUAAAGAUGAUACUGCUGUGUCAUAAUUCAACCUCAAGAUGUCUUGUGGGAAACACAGGUCAGUUUUAAAGAGCCAGGUGGGUAAACAGUCAUUAUUUGGUCUCCUGAUCCUGAAUUUUAGUGCUCCGUUGCUUAGAGCCUAUCAUUUAAGAUCCUGUGCUAUGCAAGGCUUUUGCAAAUUUAAGUGGAAUUUACAGAAUAAGCUGACUCUUGUUUUAUCAGAAUGAAUGAGGUGCCCCCCC